AUGCCAUGAUGUGGGAAUUUUCUUAAUAGUUCCUUGUACCUCUCCCAAGCAUCAGAAACUACCUCAUCGUCCAGUUGUUUAAAAAGACAAAUUUCAUUUCUGAACUU